rnacentral:rRNA from 1 species
UCSUCAUCGUAGGGUUAGUCGGGUCCUAAGCUGAGUCCGAAAGGGGUAAGCGAUGGCAAAUGGGUUAAUAUUCCCAUACCAAUAAAUACGCGCGAUGGGGGGACGCAUAGGGUUAAACGAGGUCACUGAUGGAAUAGUGGCUCGAAGGGUGUAGAUAAGCCGGAUAGGAAAAUCCGCCGGCCGUUUUCGAGACCUGACAGGCUGAUGACGCUCUUCGGAGUAGAUUCAGAAUCGUUGAUACCGUCGUGCCAAGAAAAGCCUCUAAGUAUAGUAUUUAUUGCCCGUACCGCAAACCGACACAGGUGGGUGAGAUGAGUAUUCUAAGGCGCGUGGAAGAACCCUGGUUAAGGAACUCUGCAAACUAGCACCGUAWCUUCGGWAUAAGGUGUGCCUACUUUGGUAUAUGGACUUGCUCCAAAAAGCUAAAGAGGUUGCAACAAAGAGUCCCUCCCGACUGUUUAC